rnacentral:rRNA from 1 species
AUUGAACGCUGGCGGCAGGCCUAACACAUGCAAGUCGAACGAGUGGCGGACGGGUGAGUAAUGUAUGGGAAUCUGCCUGAUGGAGGGGGAUAACUACUGGAAACGGUAGCUAAUACCGCAUACUAUCGGAUGUACCCAUAUGGGAUUAGCUAGUAGGUGGGGUAACGGCUCACCUAGGCGACGAUCCCUAGCUGGUCUGAGAGGAUGAUCAGCCACACUGGAACUGAGACACGGUCCAGACUCCUACGGGAGGCAGCAGUGGGGAAUAUUGCACAAUGGGCGCAAGCCUGAUGCAGCCAUGCCGCGUGUAUGAAGAAGGCCUUAGGGUUGUAAAGUACUUUCAGCGGGGAGGCGUUACCCGCAGAAGAAGCACCGGCUAACUCCGUGCCAGCAGCCGCGGUAAUAC